rnacentral:snRNA from 1 species
AUCCUUGUGCAGGUGCAUGAAUUUACCAGUGAAGCUCCAGCUGAGGUCAAUUUAUUGCUGUUUGAAAACUUUCAUCCAUACCCCGUCUUCAUGGGAGCUUGCCUCUCAUGCGGCAAUUUUUGUAGGGUUCUCGGAC